AGAGUGGAACAAGUGAAGCUGCCAGCAUGAUCUAAACUUGGCCAUUUAUAAAGAAAAUGGGUGACUAAGGUUAGGUCAUGCUCGGACAGCCUCACUCCUUCCUUUC
rnacentral:pre_miRNA from 1 species